rnacentral:rRNA from 1 species
GAUGAACGCUGGCGGCGUGCCUAAUACAUGCAAGUCGAGCGAACAGACGAGGAGCUUGCUCCUCUGACGUUAGCGGCGGACGGGUGAGUAACACGUGGAUAACCUACCUAUAAGACUGGGAUAACUUCGGGAAACCGGAGCUAAUACCGGAUAAUAUAUUGAACCGCAUUGUUCAAUAGUGAAAGACGGUUUUGCUGUCACUUAUAGAUGGAUCCGCGCCGCAUUAGCUAGUUGGUAGGGUAACGGCUUACCAAGGCGACGAUGCGUAGCCGACCUGAGAGGGUGAUCGGCCACACUGGAACUGAGACACGGUCCAGACUCCUACGGGAGGCAGCAGUAGGGAAUCUUCCGCAAAGGGCGAAAGCCUGACGGAGCAACGCCGCGUGAGUGAUGAAGGUCUUCGGAUCGUAAAACUCUGUUAUUAGGGAAGAACAAAUGUGUAAGUAACUAUGCAUGUCUUGACGGUACCUAAUCAGAAAGCCACGGCUAACUACGUG